rnacentral:rRNA from 1 species
UCAAAUCAUCAUGCCCCUUACGUCCUGGGCCUCACACGUACUACAAUGGCGGACAUACAACGGGUAGCAACCACGCGAGUGGAAGCCAAUCCCUUAAAAGCCGCCUCAGUUCGGAUCGCAGGCUGCAACUCGCCUGCGUGAAGUCGGAAUUGCUAGUAAUCGCGGAUCAGCAUGCCGCGGUGAAUACGUUCCCGGGCCUU